UGAUAGAAAGAACAUUGUCCAAAUGUGGACAGGUGGAAGACAUCAAGUUAAAGUACUGAAUAUUAAAUAAUCAUUUGGAAUUUUCUUGUUUCAUAGAUAAUAAAAAAAUACCGUCCAUUUGGAUAAAAAACGGGAAUGCAUGACAACAGAUUAAGCCGAUAUUCUUGUUUUUCCAGUGGACGAGUCUAUUACGUUUUUGAAACGUGUGUUGAAACUUAUUUUCGUACAACGUUUUUACAUUUUUUUCUUUAUCAGUUUUCCUGCUUGAAGAUCAUAAUUCACCAAGUUUUCUGGAAUUAAUUAAGAGCUACGCGAAUCUAUUUUUCUUGUUUGUGAAAUGACGAUUUAAUUUCGUCUUUGUCCGUGUACCCCCUUUUUUACGGGACAUUAUUAGAAUGUCAUGCGAUGUUUAUGACAGCUGAGCAAUAAAAUUUCAUCGAACUAAAAUCAAAGAAAUGAUAACAAAAUAGCAUAACAAACAUAUUGGUAGAAAGGUGAAAAAUAUAUUUAUUUUGCAUAUAUUUUUUUUUCUUUUUUUUUCCCGACCGACCGACCUGACUUUUUCAUGGGGAAAAUCCGUAAACCAAC
rnacentral:lncRNA from 1 species